rnacentral:lncRNA from 1 species
AAAUAAACAACUAACACCUGUAUGUCCAAAACCUUCCACCCCUACAACUGUAUGUUUUGUAUUUGAAAGAAAACUGUUCGGGCUAAUCUCUGACCCGGUUCACCUGCACGCAGCUCUCCUAUUCCAAUUGAAAUAGGACGAUCCACAGGUCAGCAAUACUCCUAUUCCAAUUCAUUAAAAAAAAGACUCCUACUCCAAUUGUUCGCUCUCUUCACCUCUUGCAUGAGCAAAUUAGGAGGAUCUUUCUUCAUCUACAAAAGAGACAGAUCAAUAGCAAACUGUAAAUUUGGGAAACUAUAUGAACUUUGCAAGCUACAUGUAGCAAUUAAAAUGACAUGAACAUGGAAAUUACACUAAAAUUCUGACAUGGUUUACAUGUAAGCGGGUAAAAACAGUGUAAAUAGAAGACAUAUCAACAACAUCUGUAAAUCUGGGAAAUUACAUAACCUUCGCAUGCUACAUGUAGCAGGAAAUUACUCUAAAAUAUUGAGGUAGUUCCAAUGUAAAAUCUAGGGUAAUUUUCAGAAACAUUCAGUAGCAGAAACUAAUGACAAUGCAAGUAAAAACGGAUGACACUAAAAAUACCCAAGAGUUACACUGAAAGUGACCAAGAUUUACAGUGUAAAUCCCCCUAUAAAUUACAUAGUACAUACACGGUAAUUACACUGCAAGCACACAAGGAAUUACACCUGUAAAAACUGAUGAGAUUACACAAAAUUACAGUGUAAGUGAGCAGGAAUUACAUUGUGAAACCCAAGAAUCCAAAGCUUGUAAUUACAGUGCAAGUGACCAAGAAUUACAUUGUAAAACCUCUAUAAAAUACAAUAUACAUACAAUGUAAUUACACAGCAAGUACCCAUGGCUUACACUGUAAUACCCAUGCUUUACGGUGAAAGUGCUUACAGUGCAAUACCCUCAAAGAAUACAGAAAAAAUACACAGGGAAUUAGAAUGAAAUUAUGCAGGGAUUUGCAGUGAUGAAGCUAUGCGGUAAAAACCCAAUGAAUUACAAUAAAACUUCAGAGCUACUUCACUAUAAUUUACAGUGCAUGUUCCGAGGAUACACUUGGAAUACCCCAACUAUUGGAAGCAAAAAUACAUAAAGUACACUGUUUAAGUACCCAGCAAAAUUCAUCAAUAUCUAAACGGUUUGUUGCUCAAUAUUAUGUUGAUACUGGCAUUUUUUGUUCAAAUAUGCCAGAUGAGGAGCAUGAUAAAGAGUUAAAGACAACAACUGAAGAUGAUCUAUUGAGAUUGUCACAGGAAGAACUCAUUCUAAAUGUGAGUUACACAUUUGUUUCAGAAUAUGUUGAAAGACACUAUAGGAACAUUCUAAAUACAUAAAUAAUAAUAAAAGCUCACAACAAAUAUGCCGCAGGACACAUUUUCUAUCACCGCGCUUCUACAUUCCGAUAUUAUAUUCAUGGUAAAAGCAAAAUUCAAAUACCACAGAGCUACCAAUCUGAGAAAAGCACAACUAUAGAAAACAAAUUGCCCUUUUGCUUGCAGGUACACUCAGGAGAUGGGCCUAUGAACAUGGACGCAGAUGAUAAUUUCCUUUCAAGCAUUUUACUUUCUGAAAUGACAAAAACACAUGGGCCACCCAAAGAAAAUACCCAAAACAAAAUCAAAAUAGUACAAGAAAAGGAAAACACACUUGAUUCAAAUAGAACUUCAAAAGAGAUUUGUCAAACCCUCCUUCAUCACCAGAUAGUUCCUGCAAAAAUAUAUUAAAAAGUCGACAGACUAAAAUUAAAUAAAACAACCUCAAUAACUAAGAACAAUAAAAUAAAGAUAGAUAAGAAGAAAGAAAUAACUGCCGUAGACAUAGGAUAAGAACCAUCUUCCGCACAGUCGUUAGGUACAAUAGGUUCACCCACAGAAUCUGCAUUGUCAAGAGAUGAUACUAACCAAACGUCCAGAUGAGAGACUUUCCGUAGCCUACUCAUUAAACUAAAACAUAUAAACAGAAUACAUGAAGGAGGAAAAGAAAAUAAGUAAAAUAGUAGAACAAAUCUCCAUACACUUCAUUAAAGAAUACACAUGAACAGCUAAUGCAACGCUAUUUACUAGACAAAUCUAGAAAGAACACAAAAACAAUCAUCAACCUAAAACAGGACCUCUGCUCAAUACUACUGCAACGGAGACACACUAGCACAAGAAAAGAAGAAAAUAAAAAAGCAAGAAAAUACAUGAAUUGUAGUCCUAAAAGCAUGCUAAUUACACUGCAAAAUCAGAGGUAAAUCAACUGUGAUCUAUCUGACAAAUACGUUGUAAGCCCUACAACAAUUACAGUGUUGAAGCAUUCAAAUUACAGUGUAAAUCUGCAGUAAAUUACAGUGUAAGCCCUCCAAUUCAAAGGUAAAAUCCACUGUAAUCUACCUCGCAAAUACCUACAACAAAUACAACGUCGAACCAUAUAAAUUAUAGUGUAAAACUAUGGUAUACUACAGUGUAAGCCAUCUACAACUACAUCUACCAAUAAAAAUGCAGGCGGAAUAGACACCCAGGCCAGCAGAAAUAAAAUCGACAGGGGAAUCCACCACUAGAACUACAACUUCGCCUACCUCUACAUCUACAGCAGAGGAAACAAAUCAGCAGGGGUGAAAACGACCACAACGACCAGAUGACCUAGAACACCCGAUGACUAACAGAACAAAUCACCCAUCUCAGGCAAGUAGAAGGGAAGCAAAAUGACGGACUACAACAUGGCCGCAACAUGCACCUGCCACGGAUCCAAACAAGAAACUCAGCCUAGAUUUUCAUGACACAACCACAACACAAGCAAAAUAAUACCGGGGAGGGCGAGAGACAAGAACAACCGGGCGGCAGCCAGGGAUCGAAGAGAAAGGGAAGAGAAAUCAAGAUCGAGCGGUAGAAUAUCUCGGAAUCGACAUGAACAGAAGGAAUUGCCUCCUCUGCUCCGCCUCUCAAACUCUCUCUCUCUCUCUCUCCCCUCGGCAUUAUCUAAACAGAGCCACCAAAUGAAAGAGGAAACGACACCCACUCCCAAAUACAAAAAGGAAAAAAAAUCAAUAGUGCCGGGCCGGGGCGACGGUAACGGGCUGAGACACAAAACCGCGCCCGACAAAAA